CGCCAACACCCGUGGCGACGUCUGCUCCUGCAGCAGCGGCUCCUGCGGUGCCUUCUGCCCCAACCUCCACCAGCGAUGACAGUCCGGACAGCCGCGCUGCUCCAGACGAUGAGAACCUCGGCCUCACUGCCUACGCUCUCUACGACUACCAGGCCGCGGACUCUGAUGAAAUUUCCUUCGACCCUGACGACGUUAUAACUCACAUCGAACAGAUCGACGAAGGCUGGUGGCGUGGCUGGUGUAACGGGCAGUACGGCCUCUUCCCCGCCAACUACGUUCAGG